rnacentral:rRNA from 1 species
AGUGAACGCUGGCGGUAGGCCUAACACAUGCAAGUCGAACGGCAGCACAGUAAGAGCUUGCUCUUACGGGUGGCGAGUGGCGGACGGGUGAGGAAUACAUCGGAAUCUACUUUUUCGUGGGGGAUAACGUAGGGAAACUUACGCUAAUACCGCAUACGACCUACGGGUGAAAGCAGGGGAUCUUCGGACCUUGCGCGAUUGAAUGAGCCGAUGUCGGAUUAGCUAGUUGGCGGGGUAAAGGCCCACCAAGGCGACGGUCCGUAGCUGGUCUGAGAGGAUGGUCCGCCACACUGGAACUGAGACACGGUCCAGACUCCUACGGGAGGCAGCAGUGGGGAAUAUUGGACAAUGGGCGCAAGCCUGAUCCAGCCAUACCGCGUGGGUGAAGAAGGCCUUCGGGUUGUAAAGCCCUUUUGUUGGGAAAGAAAAGCAGCAGGUUAAUACCCCGCUGUUCUGACGGUACCCAAAGAAUAAGCACCGGCUAACUUCGUG